UAAGGGCGCACGGUGGAUGCCUUGGUACCAGGAGCCGAUGAAGGACGUGUCUGGCCGCGAUAGGCCCCGGGGAGCCGCCGAGAGGGCUUGGAUCCGGGGGUGUCCGAAUGGGGGAACCCGGCACCCGUCAUGGGGUGUCACCCUCGCCUGAAUGUAUAGGGCGAGUGGAGGGAACCCGGGGAAGUGAAACAUCUCAGUACCCGGUGGAAGAGAAAACAACAUGUGAUUCCGUGAGUAGUGGCGAGCGAAAGCGGAUCUAGCCUAAACCUUGUGCGUGUGAUACCCGGCAGGGGUUGCGUGUGAGGGGUUGUGGGACGUGCCUGACGGGUCUGCCGGCCCGUCGACGAGUCAGAAACCUGUGGUGUAGUCGAACGGCAUGCGAGUGGCCGACCGUAGUGGGUGAGAGUCCCGUAGACGACAUGCUGCAGGCUCGUGGUGCUGUUCCCGAGUAGCGCGGGGCCCGUGAAAUCCCGUGUGAAUCUGCCAGGACCACCUGGUAAGGCUGAAUACUUCCUGGUGACCGAUAGUGCACGAGUACCGUGAGGGAAGGGUGAAAAGUACCCCGGGAGGGGAGUGAAAGAGUUCCUGAAACCGUGUGCCUACAAUCCGUCGGAGCGUCGUUCCACCCGUUGGGGUGGGGCCGUGACGGCGUGCCUUUUGAAGAAUGAGCCUGCGAGUUAGUGGCGUGUGGCGAGGUUAACCCGUGUGGGGUAGCCGUAGCGAAAGCGAGUCCGAUAAGGGCGUUGAGUCGCGCGUUCUAGACCCGAAGCGGAGUGAUCUAGCCAUGGGCAGGGUGAAGCGCCGGUAAGACGGUGUGGAGGCCCGAACCCACCAGGGUUGAAAACCUGGGGGAUGACCUGUGGUUAGGGGUGAAAGGCCAAUCAAACUCCGUGAUAGCUGGUUCUCCCCGAAAUGCAUUUAGGUGCAGCGUUGCGUGUGCGUGCCGGAGGUAGGGCGCUGGAUGGCCGAUGGGCCCGACCAGGUUACUGACGUCAGCCAAACUUCGAAUGCCGGUACGUUGAGCGUGGCAGUGAGACUGUGGGGGAUAAGCUCCAUGGUCGAGAGGGAAACAGCCCAGAGCAUCGACUAAGGCCCCUAAGCGCGUGCUAAGUGGGAAAGGAUGUGGGACCGCGGUGACAACCAGGAGGUUGGCUUAGAAGCAGCCACCCUUGAAAGAGUGCGUAAUAGCUCACUGGUCAAGUGGUUCCGCGCCGACAAUGUAGCGGGGCUCAAGUACGCCGCCGAAGUCGUGUCAACGCCAUGAGCCCGUCGUCACCUGAGACGUGGCGGCCAGGUGUGGUGUUGGGUAGGGGAGCGUCGCAUGUCCGGUGAAGCGGCCGCGUGAGCGAGUCGUGGAGGGCAUGCGAGUGAGAAUGCAGGCAUGAGUAGCGAAUCCACGGUGAGAAUCCGUGGC
rnacentral:rRNA from 1 species